GUCCCAGUUCGGAUCGCAGGCUGCAACCCGCCUGCGUGAAGUUGGAAUCGCUAGUAAUCGCGGAUCAGCAUGCCGCGGUGAAUACGUUCCCGGGCCUUGUACACACCGCCCGUCACACCAUGAGAGUCGGGAACACCCGAAGUCCGUAGCCUAACUGGAAAGGGGGGCGCGGCCGAAGGUGGGUUCGAUAAUUGGGGGUGAAGUCGUAACAAGGUACC
rnacentral:rRNA from 1 species